UUAAAGGGUAUUAUAGAUAUUAAUUAAUAAAUGCCGUAAUAAUGUCCGAAUAAAAUAUGUGGUAAUAUAAUUAACCUAUUUUAUGCCGAUUUAAUAUCUAAGCGAUAUUAAGAAUUGGGCUAAGCGGGUUAAAAGUCGAAAGUGAUGAAAGUGUCAAAAUAAGUUCUUAGUAUUUUAUACUAAUUUAUUAUUGCAUGUAUAUAAUUAUGCAGUUAUCAUUCCUGUAAAUACUUUCUGAAGCAGGAAAGAACUGUUAUGAAGAAGAUGAGUAUCAGGAUUGUCCAGACCUUUAGGUGAUCUUGAUAGCAGUGUUUGAGGUUGGGAUGCCUCCAUUUUGUGGACUGCUGUGUUCCAGUCCUUUAUUAUAUUAUCUUGAGAAUGAUAUUUAUAUUUCUGUUGGUGUGUAUUAACUAUACUCUAGUUAUUUUGGCUUGUAAAUUAUAUGUGCCUUGUAUGGCACAAAUACUAUCUUAUGUGUAAUUAUUCAGUUACACUUUAUAUAUCUAUUUUGAGGUAUUUCAGUUAGAA